rnacentral:rRNA from 1 species
AGAGUGAACGCUGGCGGCAGGCCUAACACAUGCAAGUCGAGCGGCAGCACAGGGGAGCUUGCUCCCUGGGUGGCGAGUGGCGGACGGGUGAGGACAACGUCGGAAUCUGCCUUUUUGUGGGGGAUAACGUAGGGAAACUUACGCUAAUACCGCAUACGACCCCAGGCCGGGAGGUUUGGGGUGAAAGCGGAGGACCUUCGGGCUUCGCGCAGAAAGCGAGCCGACGUCGGAUUAGCUAGUUGGUGGGGUAAAGCCCACAAGGCGACGAUCCGUAGCUGGUCUGAGAGGAUGAUCAGCCACACUGGAACUGAGACACGGUCCAGACUCCUACGGGAGCAGCAGGUGGGAAUAUGGACAAGUGGGCGCAAGCCUGAUCCAGCCAUCGCCGCGUGUGUGAAGACGGUCCUUCGGGUAGUAAAGUCUACGUUUUUGGUAGGGAAGAAACGUCAACGUUCGGUUAACGUACCCGGGUGU